rnacentral:snRNA from 1 species
AGAAUAUUGUAUUCUGUAUAAAGAACAGUAAAGAGAGUAGAGAAAAUUUAUGGUGUUAAGGAAAGAUUCUAUCUACAUCGCCAACAACACCUUAUCUCCAAUUCCCUGCGCAAGGAUGAUACGCACAAUAUUAAAGCGCUCCAAACUUUU